UUAAUGUUUUAUCAAAAGUCACAAAAUUAGGGUUUAGAGUUAAAGGGUGGGGUUUAGGAUUUAGGGUUUAGGGUUUAGAGUUUAGAGUUUAGGGUUUAGGGUUUAGGGUUUAGGGUUUAAGGUUUAGUGUUUAGGGUUUAGAGUUUAGAGUUUAGAGUUUAGGGUUUAGGGUUUAUGGUUUAGUGUUUAGGGUUUAGAGUUUAGGGUUUAGGGUUUAGAGUUGAGAAAUUAGGUUUUGGGGAUAAGAUUUCAAAUUUUGAAAAAUAAAAAAAUUAAAAUUUUCAAAUGAUAAACUUAGAAAGGUGUUAUAUUGGUCAUUUUAGUUUUUGAGUGCUAUUUUGUGAUAUAAACUUAGAAAUGUGUUAUUUUGGAGAUUUGCCCCAAUUAAAAAUAAAAAUAAUUGAAAUUUUAUUUGCAUAUCAUGUUUUUCUGCCAUCUAAAUAUUACCUGUCCACUUCUAAUUUUUUUUCAUAAAUUUGAAGCUAAGUUAAUUUUAACAAAAAAAUAAAUCAAUUGUGAAAGAAAUGAUUUUAACAAAAAAAAUAAAUAAACAGACUUUUUAGUUUUCAGAUCCUAAAUUUUCUCAAAUCCCACGAUCACUUUAACGUCAUAUGUAACUUCCAAAUUAUGGCACACAAAAUCAAACAGUUUAUUAUAUAUAUAUUUGUUUUUCUUUUCCUUCUUCUCCAUGUUUCAUAUUCUUCCUCUGUUUUUUUUUCUUCCAAUUUGUAGUGUAUCAGCAAAAAUCAAUAGAGUGCGUGACUACUAUAUUUCUGUUCAUUUUUUAUAUUCUGCUCAAAUCUUAUAUCAUUUGAUUUUUUAAGCGUUAUUCAGAUAUAAGAUGUCACUUGGAUAUGAUAUUACCGUUCAAAGCUAAUUUCUUCAAAAGAAAAG
rnacentral:lncRNA from 1 species